rnacentral:rRNA from 1 species
UACGAGGGGGGCGAGCGUUGUUCGGAAUUAUUGGGCGUAAAGAGCUCGUAGGCGGUUUGUCGCGUCUGCCGUGAAAGUCCGGGGCUCAACUCCGGAUCUGCGGUGGGUACGGGCAGACUAGAGUGAUGUAGGGGAGACUGGAAUUCCUGGUGUAGCGGUGAAAUGCGCAGAUAUCGGGAGGAACACCAGUGGCGAAGGCGGAACUCUGGGCCGGAACUGACGCUGAGGAGCGAAAGCGUGGGGAGCGAACAGG